UACGUAGGCAGCAAGCGUUGUUCGGAGUUACUGGGCGUAAAGGGUGUGUAGGCGGUUGUUUAAGUUUGGUGUGAAAUCUCCCGGCUCAACUGGGAGGGUGCGCCGAAUACUGAAUGACUAGAGUGCGGGAGAGGAAAGUGGAAUUCCUGGUGUAGCGGUGAAAUGCGCAGAUAUCAGGAAGAACACCCGUGGCGAAGGCGGCUUUCUGGGACGGUACUGACGCUGAGACGCGAAAGCGUGGGGAGCGAACAGG
rnacentral:rRNA from 1 species